GAGGGUAUAGCUCAAUUGGUAGAGUGCACGCUUAGCAUGCACGAAGUCCUGGGUUAAAUCCCCAGUACCUCCU
rnacentral:tRNA from 1 species